rnacentral:rRNA from 1 species
UACGUAGGGUGCAGGCGUUAAUCGGAAUUACUGGGCGUAAAGCGUGCGCAGGCGGUUUCUUAAGUCAGAUGUGAAAGCCCCGGGCUUAACCUGGGAACUGCGUUUGAAACUGGGGAGACUAGAGUGUGGCAGAGGGGGGGUGGAAUUCCACGUGUAGCAGUGAAAUGCGUAGAUAAUCGAGGAGGAAUACCGGUGGCGAAGGGCGG